ensembl:lncRNA
CGGUUGAGCAUUCUUGGCAACGUCUCUCUCGGUGAACAGGCUGCCGACCGUCGGCUGUUUCCACAAUGUCUGGAGAAUUAUUUUAACGGAGUAGGAGCCGAGAGGAGCCGCCGGAGCAGCGUUAGAGUUACACUGCGAGCAGCUGGAGGAACAAAGAAUCCUGUCUUCAAAGGGAGCUGAAUGUGGGCCACCUGAGUUACUUCGCCUUGUCAUAAAAUCAUCUCUGUUGCUUCCAGGCACCUCAUGGGAAUUUCAUCUGCAUUUUAUUUGGAGGCGUUGGUCAGCCUUUUUGCUCCUUCUGUGCUGCCUGUUGGAGGUC